rnacentral:lncRNA from 1 species
GUCCAUGCCGCGGGGAGUUCAGUUGUUGGUCUAUCAUUUAUCACGUUCUGUUUGCGCUUCCUAGUCAUGAUUUGUAUCGUUUCUUGGGUAAUGGCUUGGGUUGAACUAGCGAUAGGUUUAAGUAUCUCUGCAUCAUCCCAUUCUAUUAAUAGAAUGGGACAAUGCAGGGACUUGGUUUCUUGGGUAAUGGCUUGGGUUGAACUAGCGAUUGGUUUAAGUAUCUCUGCAUCGUCCCAUUCUAUUAAUAGAAUAGACUUAAUUAAACUUGUCCAUACUCUUUCAAGACGUAUGUCCAUGCCGCGGGAAGUUCGGUUGUCGGUCUAUCAUUUAUCACGUUCUGUUUGCGCUUCCUAGUCAUGAUUUGUAUCGUUUCUUGGGUAAUGGCUUGGGUUGAACUAGCAAUUGGUUUAAGUAUCUCUGCAUCAUCCCAUUCUAUUAAUAGAAUGGGGAUUGGUUUAAGUAUUUCUGCAUCGUCCCAUUCUAUUAUGAUGUCAUUAGUAUAGGCUUGUUCGGCUGGCGCU